CACGUAGGGGGCAAGCGUUGUUCGGAUUUACUGGGCGUAAAGGGCGCGUAGGCGGUCUUGUAAGCCUGACGUGAAAGGCUAUGGCUCAACCAUGGCACUGCGUUGGGAACUGUGAGACUAGAAUCACGGAGAGGGAGCUGGAAUUCCAGGUGUAGGGGUGAAAUCUGUAGAUAUCUGGAAGAACACCAGUGGCGAAGGCGAGCUCCUGGCCGAUGAUUGACGCUGAGGCGCGAAAGUGUGGGGAUCAAACAGG
rnacentral:rRNA from 1 species